AACGAACGCUGGCGGCAUGCCUAACACAUGCAAGUCGAACGAGACCUUCGGGUCUAGUGGCGCACGGGUGCGUAACGCGUGGGAAUCUGCCCUUAGGUUCGGAAUAACUCAGGGAAACUUGAGCUAAUACCGGAUAAUGACUUCGGUCCAAAGAUUUAUCGCCUAGGGAUGAGCCCGCGUAGGAUUAGCUAGUUGGUGAGGUAAAAGCUCACCAAGGCGACGAUCCUUAGCUGGUCNGAGAGGAUGAUCAGCCACACUGGGACUGAGACACGGCCCAGACUCCUACGGGAGGCAGCAGUGGGGAAUAUUGGACAAUGGGCGAAAGCCUGAUCCAGCAAUGCCGCGUGAGUGAUGAAGG
rnacentral:rRNA from 1 species